UAAAAUCUGAUAAUGCAUAAGCUGUAAGCAGCUGAGGUAUAAGAUAAAGGAACAAGCCCAGCACCCAGCUCCAGCGCUCAAGAAUGAUUUCUCUUCCUUCUUACCACUCCUCAACCUCAAUGUCCUACCCAGGGUCUCUAUGUACUUCAUAGAGGACUGUCAGGAGGUUCAAAUUGGACUACGGAUGUGAAAAGCUCCGUGGGCAAGAAGUUCCAUGCUUUCAUUCAACAGCCUCCCUCUCCUCCCCAUCUUGGCAGGCAUGGCGGCCACCCAGCUGUGGACUGAUGCCCUGGCAACCACCCUCUGGCAACCCAAGAGACGACGACGGCCACUCACCCCAGCUGGGAGAAGCUGUACAGGGUCUGCCACAGCCGCAGCAUUUGUCUGCAGGUCACGAGGGCUUCCUCUGGGCCUUUCAGCGCCUGCUCCAGCUUCACCUUGGUGAACAUCAGGCUGUGGGGAGGGAGCGGCCAUCAGCACACCCCAGCGAGGGCCCACUUUCACCUGAGGAUCCUGCCCCACCAGGACGGCCCCACAUGCCCACCUCCCCAGCUCGCAGAAGGCAGAGUGCCAUGAGGGCGGCAGCCUCUGCCAGGCCCCUGGACCACUUGCUUUCUCUCUGUGCCUUUUUCCCAUCUUGGCUGCCAAAGUAUGAAGCACCCCAUGAAGCAUUGUCAGUGCCCACACUGCUGAUGCCCCGUGUCCCCUGACCACGUGCCAUCCUGCCCAUCUCUGAAGCACUGCCCUGUGAGGUCUUGCUCGGUUUGCUCUUCCUACCCACAUCCUCCACUAAGCAACGCCCUGUGCCUACUGAACGUGGGACCAGGCUUACACUCACAUUCCCCACAGGGCCCAGCCUGGGACCUUGGAUAAGAGACCCGUCCAGACAGUGACUUAGAAUCCAUGAGUGAAGGUAGAGCAAGGAACUGGCAAGGAGGUCCCCUAAGGACAGAGCUCCGCUUCCCACCUUGCCAGCCACAAUAGUAUAGGUGCCCAAGCAACACCUCCUAAGUGGAACUGCAAAGUUUGCUUCCUGACCCUGGAGAUACACAAAGAAGGCGGUGUUAUGCUUUAUCAAAGGAUUCUUUCUUGGAUUUCCCAAAAUAGCCAGCUCCCCUUACAUAAUCGAUAGGAUUAAAGUGACGUGAAAUCCUUUUCAAUCACCAUUUAGGGACAGUUACUGUGCAAUGAAAGCAAGCAACUUCAGAAUUUCUUUCGACCUGAAAACCUGAAGUCCUCUGAGGUAAGACCAGUGUGGGGAGUGGCCCUUAGAAUGGCUGAGAAGAAGAGCUGGUCCCACCUGGAGGCAGGACCCCAGGAGGGGUGGCUGGCUCCCUCCCUCUGCCCUGGACACAGCAGGCACAGCCAGAAUGCUUCUCACAGGCCAGUCACGACACUUGUUCAUCAAGAGCUGGGGUGGAGCCCUGGAGGCCCUGCUGUGACUGGUGUUGGCCCUUCAGAUGCUGGGGAGGUCUGGGGGUUCUGGAGGGGUCCAGGCAGUGGUUAUAUAGCAAAAAUUGGAAGUCCAGCCAUAUUUUCACCUUGGUACUGCCAGCAGUACCAACACACACCAGCUGCCUGGGCAGCCUUCGGAGAGUUUGAACCACUGAGGGCCAGACAGUAGCACCUCCCGCUUCUCACCAGUGGUUGAGUAGUGAGGCCCUUUCUUCUCAACACCACUGAGGAGCAAGACCACGGGACUGUCAGGCCCUGCACUUGAACACUGCCCGGUGGUUCUACCAGCCCGCCCGAGGGUAGCACACAGGCCUGCUCCAUCGGAGGGUCCCCACCCAGACUACGAAGGCUGCAGGCGCCACCUGGCGAGGCCAGGCCUGGCCCUGGCAGCUGCUCCUCUGAUCUCUCUCAGUUGGGCCUCUGCCCUGAGACCUGGGCUCCCAGCUUCAUAAAGCCCUCUGAUGUCCUUAUUCUCUGCCUGUCUUUCCACACUUUGUCUCUUAGAUUGCAACUUGGUAGAGAAUGAAGAGGGUGGAAUUUGCCCCAGGAUCUUCAGAAGAGGGGAUUUCUAGACAAGAAUUUUUCUUCCUCACUGCAUCCCCCAAAUGCCUUUCCUGACCCUGCACACAGGUUGCCCCUCAGAUACCACCUCUUCUCUUCAUUUUCAUCCAUCCCAAGCCUGGCUUUAAAUCCCAUCUCUCUCAAUUCUUAGGAUGCCCUGCACCCGUCUUGGAACAUAACUAAGGACCACCUGGCUUGCCUAUCAGGUCCCAAGGGCAGAAACUGGGAUCAACCUAGCAUGGACUGCACAGACCCGAGUGCACAGUCAGCACAGGACACAGCCCUGAGUAGGAAUGACCCCAGUGGGCAACUGCUGGGGACAACUGGUCCUGCCACUGUACUCUCCUUCCCCAGGUUUGCAAAGGAUCCAACACUCCACAAGUACCAGGGGCCUCUGCUUUCAGGAAUAUGAAGAAGAAAACACAAUGGCUGCCUGUGAGACAACAAUUAGAGCACUAUAAAUGACACAUUGACCAGAGAAUCAAGGGCUGUAUUUUUGGAUCAGACUCAGUGCAGGGGAAGAAACAGGAAAGGGAUCUUACUGGAGCUGGUGUUUGGUGAAAAGCAGGGUGGAGUGGGAUUUGGCUGGGAGCUGGGGAGAGAGAAGAGGCUGGGGUGUGGAAGGUGGGGCAGCUGGUUGGAGCAGUAGGUGUCAGUGAGGUGGGAAAGCCCCUCCCUCAGACAGCCAAGUCCCCUGGGCUGGGCUGAUUCCUGGGGACAGCUCCCUGGGCAGGCCAGCCCUGCUGCAUUCCCCGGGCCCUCUGCAGGCACUGCCUCUUCAGCACGCUUCUCUCUGCCAGAGCUCCCUUCUCACUUUCUUCAUCUUUGAGGGCCGGAAUGGGUCUAGGGCAGACCCGACCACACCAUGUGCCUGGCAAAGAAGUGGCUGAAAACUGAGCUGGCAUCACAGAUCCUGGGAGGAUCCAGAUUUGUUCCUGAGAUUUCCUCGGGCUGGCAGGGAUCAGCAAACAACUCCACCCCCUCAGAAGAAGCGACUCAGCUGCUCUUCUAAGGAGCACAGGCCCCUCUCCAUCCUGUCCACUGCAACAGGUAGCUGCUGCCCACUCACCCACCUAUCAAUGCCUAGCCCAUGUCUUCAGGAAGCAAGAAGCCUGGCGGAGCCCUGGCAUGCCGUCAGGGCUGGUGGGUGACAUUCUGGGGCCCUCACAGCCAGGAGGAAUCGAAGCUGUGGCCACAGCCUCAUCAGAACGCUGUGACUCCUGCGCGAAGCUGAGGGGAGGCUGCUGGCAGCUGGGGCUGGGGAUAGAGUAGGCAAGCCUGGGCUCCCCUUCCCCUUGCUUAUCUGUCUUAUAAACUAACUGAGCCUAAAACACCACUUAAAUAAAGGAUUCUGAGACUGAAAAAACGAUUUCAAUCCCACGGCUCCAGCCCUCCUCCAAGAUGUCCCUCUGUAAUCACGCUGUCCUUCUCUGAAUGUCUGGCACUGUGUUCCACUAGCACUUAAUUACAUUAUACAUAUAUAUAUACUUGGGGCUCAGGACACACUACCCUAAAAUAUGACUGUUUGACACCAGAAUAUGCCACCCCAAAAUAUACUUUGGCAUAUUUUGAGUUAGUUAUUCCAAGAUACUGCAGACACAGAAGUAGCUCUGAAAAGCUGCCCUUUUAUAAAACAAAUUUCCUUUUUUUUUUUUUUUUUUUUA